rnacentral:rRNA from 1 species
UACAGGGGGUGCUAGCGUUGUUCGGAAUUACUGGGCGUAAAGGGCGCGUAGGCGGUCUUACAAGUCAGGGGUGAAAUACCGGAGCUUAACUUCGGAAUUGCUCUUGAUACUGUAGGGCUAGAGUAUGUUAGAGGAUGGCGGAAUUCCUAGUGUAGAAGUGAAAUUCGUAGAUAUUAGGAAGAACACCGGUGGCGAAGGCGGCCAUCUGGGACAUAACUGACGCUGAGGCGCGAAAGCGUGGGGAUCAAACAGG